GGGUGAAGUGGGCGUCACCAAGAGCGCUCAAGAGAAAGUCUGUGUGUGGACCUGUGACUCUACAUGAAUGACUCAAGUGAAGAAACACGCGUGAAACCACUAUUUCAAAGGAAAAAGAAGAGGAAGAAGGGACAUCUUGAACAUUCGCAGUGGAACUUGAGUGCGCAUCUGCGCAAAGUCUCUCCAAAGUCACUUGGUAACUUUUGCGCACCAGUGCAGCUCCAUUCUCAAGCAGUUUUGGGGGUCACGGCGAGGAGAGACAGAGCAGCGACUGUCGUCCAGCAGAAUGGCGUCAGACGUGGGCCGUAGCACUUGAGGUGCAGAGCAGAUUUUGCAAGGAGAGGGUGAAACUGCACAGCUGCAGCAGUCAUCCUGAAGCUCAGAUAUAUUUGAAGAGCUUGCUGCCGCAACUUAAAGGUUAUUGGCAAAUGACCCUGGACCUUCAUUUGACAUUUAUCUGACUUUUACAUUAUUUGGGAAUUUUAUAUAUGUAUGAUAGGAGAAACAGCAUUGCUUUAGAAUUAUAGUGCCUUAUUUAACUCUAAAGCAUGUGAAAUAGAUUUUUUUUUUAUAUUGCAGGUGUAUUAUCCAACGUCAGUAAUUUGCAACACAAUGUUUGACAUGAAACUUGAAAUAAAAUCAGGAACUAGCUCUAUUUUAGAGGUAUUGGUGAAACAUCUCUCGCAGUGGGCAAAAUUAGACACGUGCAUGAAAACCCCCUGAAAUACUGUUAGUAUCACCCAAAGACAAUAUUUUAUGUCUUAAUAUCUGUCACAUACAUAGUUUUAUGUAUACAUGCGCCUGAGUAUCUAAAGAUGGAAUUUAGCUUAGUAAAAAAAAAACUUUUUAUUAUUUUUAUAGACUAGUGAAAUUCACC
rnacentral:lncRNA from 1 species